CCUACGUGAGGCUGCAGUGGGGAAUAUUGCGCAAUGGGCGAAAGCCUGACGCAGCGACGCCGCGUGAGGGAUGAAGGUCUUCGGAUCGUAAACCUCUGUCAGCAGGGAAGAACGGUCACUGUGCUAAUCAGCAGUGAAUUGACGGUACCUGCAAAGGAAGCACCGGCUAACUCCGUGCCAGCAGCCGCGGUAAUACGGAGGGUGCGAGCGUUAAUUGGAAUUACUGGGCGGAAAGCGCUCGUAGGCGGUAUGUCAAGUCAAGGGUGAAAUCCCCGCGCUCAACGUGGGAACUGCCUUUGAAACUGGGCAACUGGAGUGUGUGAGAGGAUAGUGGAAUUCCAGGUGUAGGAGUGAAAUCCGUAGAUAUCUGGAGGAACAUCAGUGGCGAAGGCGACUAUCUGGCACAUAACUGACGCUGAGGAGCGAAAGCGUGGGUAGCAAACAGGAUUAGAUACCCGUGUAGUC
rnacentral:rRNA from 1 species